AAAUGGGGGUGGGGGGUCGCCUCCGUUGAUGGAUAUUUCUUGAACGCUCCUGGGCGGCGACAAGGUCAUUUUUUCAGGGUUGGAAGGAGUUGCAUUUUCAGCCAUCUUGGGUUUUGCAGAGAGGUUCGAUCUCGUUCUCUGGUUCUGGCCUCUUGAACAUAACGACAGACAUCUUCUCCCUCUCCCGGUUAGUCACUACCCUGUGGGUUGGGCUCGUGAAUGCUCCAUUACUCAAUAUC